AGUAUGCCGGAGGCUGCGCCUUCUUCCGCGAAUGCCGAACCACCAUCCGUCGCGGCGAAAUCAGACGCGUGCUCGCUCUUUUGCGUGCGCCGGCCACCUCUCGCUCGAUCCUUUUUAUUUAUCGGUUAUUUUCUUUCGAUGGUCACAGGGGGUGUGAGCAAUUCAAAGUCGAGGAGUCGUCGACUAACGUACCAGCGAGUCGUGGUCGUUGGUUUCGCGGGCAAAGUUCCAGUGAAGAUGGAAGGGGUGAGAUGGAGAUUUGAUUUCGAAAGUAAUGAAGAUGACGCGUCCAGGAUGUUUCGUCGAGUUUGAAGAGGUUUUGAGAGGUUGUGAGAGGUCAAAUGAGUCUGUUACGCGGACGACAUUUCCGUAGAAAUGGAAAGGGCGAAGUGGAAGUUCUAGCUGGAAAGAAAUGAAGUCGACAUAAGAAUGAUACUUAGCAUGGAACGAGGAGGCAUUGAAAGGUUGUGAGAGAUUUGUGAAGUUGUAUUUGGGGUAGUGUGUAUCAAAUCAGUGAUUUAAGUAGAUCUUAAAGCUUAAUUUGUUGAAUUCGUUUUCAGAAAGUGUUAACUUUUCCCUCUUAGAAUUACUUAUUAUUUUAAUUACUUAGAAUUAGAAUAGUUACUUUUCUUUUGAGAUUGACCAAACAUUAAUUGUAAAAAUGAAUUCACAGAUUAUACAAGUUCAUAUAUAUGUGUUGUACAUACAACAUCUUCAGAGAAAAUAACAUUCCACCGAUAAUUCUUACUAUCCAAAACUGGCAUAAACUUCAUUGAAGUUAGCAACGUGAUCUUGACACAUUGCGAGGAUCCAAUUUUCCACCCAUUUGUCGGUAAAAUAAUGUUGUGCGCGGUCAUUGUUACUGCGGCUUCGUGUGGCAGCUGAUCAGGGCCGCCGCUGUCUUUCUACCCGCGUGCUACCAACAGCGACUCAUUUUUUUCCUGGCGCACUCAACCCUCACGUUCUCACUGUAAUCGCAUGGCAACGUGUUUAAAAUGUUACGUUCACUAGAGGUUAAUUAUAGAAGUGUAGAUAAGUCGAGAUAAGUUCCUAGCAAUUUUCUAUCACGAUAGAUCAAGAUUACUUCACAUCAGAUCUGAACUUGUUUGAAACGAGAGCUAUGUUAAUAAGCUCAUACGUUUCAACUAUUUGUAUGCUACCUUUAUUUAUUUUCAUAUCUGGAGUGUAUAAUUCGUCAGAAUAAUGUCAAUAGGAACGUAUAUAGAGAAUUUGUACGUUCGAAAUUGGAGAGCAAUUAUACAUAGAGUCGAAAGGACGGGUGUGGAAACAUCGAAGGUAUAUAACCGAUCGACCAGCAAAACUUGGACGCUUUGUGCGACGAGACUGGGACGAGUCACGAUUAUCUGGCAAAGUUUGAAAAUUCGAUAUUGUAAUUUUGGAUAAAAGCGAUUACGUUUAAAGCAGCGGGAUUCGAUGUUUAGCCACGUUAAUAUCGAUCAUCUGUACACAAUUAAGGCAAUAUAAUAUCGCUGGAGUUUCGGAUGAAAGCAAGCCCCGGCUAUAAAAUCUGCUCUUUCAACGGACCCAAGUGCCCAUGAAAUUAAAAGCUUUCCAUCUAAUUGCGAUAACAUCGAACGCGAUUAACCGAUAAUUCUCGAUAAAUGUGAUCACAUAUGAAAUUUCGUGCAUAACUGGCCUCUGUGUAAUUUCAAAGCCUCGACAUGUUCAUGACCAUGAACAUCUUAAAACGAAAAAACAAUCGAAUUUCUCAGAAAUCAAACAGAUCAUUAACUGAUCAUUAAUAUCCAAUCCUGAGGGAAACAAAUAUUUAAUUUCGUAGCUUUACUCGUUGCAAGAAGAUGAUAUAAAUAAAUUCUAUGAUAAAUUUAAAAAACAGUAUUUGUAACAUCAUCGCUUUCUCGAACUUCCUAAUUCACUGAGUCGAACAAAAUAUUUUCUGCUAUUGCAAAAUCUCAAAAUGUUCAGUCCACGAGAAGUCUAAAAUAGAAAAGCAAUUACUUGUUUCCUUAAAUGCAAAGAAGACCAAAAAAAGAAGAGCGAGGGAAAAAAGAAUCUUGAUCAGGCUUUCGUUUCACGUUCGAACAACGCUCCUUUUGUUUCCAUCGUUUUGGAACCGCUCGAAGGGAAAGAGAGAACUUCCACAUCGUGCAUCGAUCACCGCAAAACUCGAAGCAACUUUUUCAAGAAUCCCUUUGAAUUUCUUCCCCGUUGCUUCAGUCAGUUUCGACUACAGAGAAAACGAGCUCUCUUUCCUCUCUACUUUUCCUUUCACUCCGACACACAGACAUUUCUCUUCGAUGAACGUUAGCGUAUUUUCCUUUCUUCUCUUCUUUCUCUCUCCUUUUCUCUCUUGCCAACUUUUUUUUUUACAUAUCGUAAUAGCUCAGGCCUGCCGUCUUUGACGCCCUUUGUCGCGCAUCAGCGGCGCGAGUUUCGAGACAUCGCUCUUCCUUGAAACUUUCUCAUUCGUCAAAUUAGAAUUCGCCUUUCCGCCGGCGCGACGGCGACGCUCCCCGGAGGCUCUCUCGCUCUCCAACGCUACCUCUCCUCGCCUUCGUCGAGACAAUGGAUCAAAGGAUCACACACAGCCUCUCCUGGACCUUAAAUUCCGCUGUUGCUGCCCUCCCAAGGAACACCGACCGACGGGGCACGUCGAAAAGUCGCGUCGCGACGCGAUUGUCACCAAACCCCUCCCCUGCAAAGAUCAAACGACCAACCGGGAUACGAGUCGCUCGUUUCCAAGUGUUUCCCAUCGAGAUCUCUCUGAACCUGUCUACUUCCGAAGAAUUAAAUACCAUUGUACUAACAGAUGGGGAAAAAGGUGGGUUUUUUAAAAUAUUUUAGUUUGGAGUUUGGAAUUUAUCGAAGAUUUGUAAUGUUGGUUAUUCACAGCACGAAUGUUAUCGAGACAUCAGUCAUGUAGUUUGGAAGAGUUUGAAGUAGUUGGACUUCAUUGGGUGUUGAACAUGAAGAAUCGAAAGACAUAUAUAUUUAUGAUUUCUUCUAAAGGCCUUUGAUUCUAAAAGAAUUGCACAGAUGUAACUCUUCUUCUUGGAGUACAAUAAUAAGCGUAAACAAAAUGUAGGAAAUUACCUUUUCAAAUAACGAUAUGAUG